rnacentral:lncRNA from 1 species
AUGAGUGGUGUUAGUUUUGUUAUCACCAUCCUUGCACACAAGGACAAAGUGCAUCACACUCGAUGGGUUCUCACACACUUCUCCCAUCUCAUGUUUGGUGGCGAAUAGUAUGAGGUUUUUCUCUCUAGGCGAAGAGGCACUCAAAUGUGGCUUGUGGCUCUCACUCACUUUUUGGUGGCUCACUUUCUCACUCUUCUCUCUUUGGUUGGUGGCUUGUUUGUCGGCUAUCACUUGACUAGGAGACAUGGGUCGUAGGACAUGUUCUUUGCCUUUCAUCUUGAAGCUAUAGUGGUUUGUACGCCCAUUGUGGUAGACACCACGGUCGAAUUGCCAUGGCCGACCAAGGAGGAGGUGGCAAACGGUCAUUGGGACCACAUCACACUCCAAAGUGUCCUCAUAUGCACCGAUUUUGAAGGAUACUUGGACCGUAUGCUCAACUCGUAUAGUGCCGGAGUCACUUAGCCAUUGAACCUUGUAGGGGUGCGGAUGCUUCUUCUUGACCAAUUGGAGCUUGGAGCAUAGUUCUUCGCUUGCCAAGUUGUGGCAACUACCUCCAUCGAUGAUGACCUUGACGGAUCGUCCAUAGAUGCCGGCCUUUGUGUGGAAGAUGUGGCAUCUUUGAUCUUCUUCUUGUUGAUGUUGAAGUGUCAAGACCUUGGAGACAACAAGAGCGGGGAUUGUAUCUUCAUCACAAAAGACUUGAUCAUCUUCAUCCUCGUUGAUGCGUCGGUGCAUGGCCACUUGCUCAAUAGCGUCCAUUUCAUCUUCACUCAUUGAGUCAUAGGUGCCAUCGUCAUUGAGUAUCAUGGUGCGCUUGUUGGUGCAUUCAUAUGACUUGUGGCCUCGGCCGCCACAAGUAAAACACUUGGAGGAGCUUGUCUUGACGGUCUCAUCGGUUGGAGUAGAUGAUGAAGCACGCGGCUUGGAGUUGCUUGUAGUAGGAGGAGGACGACUUGAACUUGUAGAAGUUUUCUUGUAACUUGACUUGUCGUCGUUGCUUGGAGAAGGCUUGGUUGACGUCGAAGUUGGAGUAGUUGUUGAAGCUUGGUUGUUGGAGAAGCCGUAUGUCUUGCAGGAGUACUUGGCGUACUUGAAGUCAUCUUGCACUUGACGUUCCGCCUUUGUAGCUUGAUGUAUGAGCUCAAUGAGGUUGGAGUAGGGUUGGAAGUCGGCGAUCUUCUUGAUGGGAUGAUUGAGUCCAUUCAAGAAUCGUGCCAUUGUUUGCUCAUCAUCCUCCGCUACAUUGGCUCGAAUCAUGGCAAUCUCCAUUUCCUUGUAGUAUUCUUCAACACUCUUUGUUCCUUGCUUGAGGAGUUGUAGCUUCUUGAAGAGAUCACGGUUGUAGUAGGUGGGCACAAAGCGUGCUCGCAUGACAUCCUUCAUUUGAGCCCAAGUGGUGAUUGGAGGUUCACCUCUUGCUUGUCGGCGCUCAAGGACUUGUUCCCACCAUAUGAGCACAUAGUCUUGGAACUCAAGUGAUGCCAUAGCGAUCUUCUUCUCUUCCUCAUAGUUGUGCAAACGAAAGAUUUUGUCGACCUUCAAUGACCAUGAGAGGUACUCUUCGGGAUCAUUGCUUCCAUUGAACUUGGACAUUGUGAACUUGAGCUUGCCAUAGCGUUGCUCUUCAAUGUGUUGUUGGCGAUGGUUGUGAUGAUGCCCUUGUCGUGGAGGGUAAUCAUCCUCAUGUUGCUCUUGGCGUGGAGGAAGUCCAUGAUCAACUUUCUCUUGUUGACCUUGAGGUUGAGGUUGAGCUUGAGGAGCUUGUGGAGGAGCUUGUGGAGCUUAACGUUGCGCACGCGGAUGGUAGUUCCUCUCUUGUAUUUCUUCUCGAAGGGCUUCCUCUUGAUUGCGCCUUUCGCGAUUGCGGUUGGCGAUAGCUCGACUUGAUGCUUGAAGGGCACGUUCCGCCUCAAGAGCUUGUGCUUCUCGUUGUUGUUGUUGAAGACGUUGAGCCUCGGCGUCUUGUUGCUCUUCAUGUAGGCGCGCUCGUUCUUGUUCUUGUUGGCGACAAAGAGGUUGUCGUUCUUGAGCUUGAGCAAACGCUACUUGGUUCGAUUGAGGACGAGGAACUUCUUCAUCAACUUGCUCUUGGAGAUUCUUGUCGUGUAGCGGGUUGCGAGAUGCAUGACGGUCUUGACGCGCGGCACGUCGAAGAGUGUUCGAUGAAGGUGUACUUGAGUCGGAGAAGGAAUCGUCGGAGUGGCGACUUGAGUGGCUCCGUCUUGAGUCUGAGGAAGUAGAAUGACGCCGGUUCACCAACAAGGCGCGGAGCUCGUCCAUUCUUGCAUCGUUCUCUUUCUUGUGCGCGUCGAGCUUGUUGUCGAUGCGUUCGCUCAUUGCUUGUUGCUCUUGAUGGAGAGCUCGUUGUGCGGCAAAUAGGUGGUUCUUGGUGACGUAUGAUGACAUGUCGUCGUCUUGCUCGAUGAAGAGUGGAUUUGUAGAAGAACUUGGCCUAUCCAUCAUUUCAAGCAAAUUGUGAGUGGUAGAAGGAGAAGAACGAAUACCAAUGUACCUUUGACCGAAGUUGAAGAUGAAUCAAGUUCACUCAAAUGCGGACAAUGAAAUAGCACUAUUGGUACCGAUCCUUGUCGAUUCUCACACCUACACAAGUAAAAGCCUUUGGUGGAGCUUGGUUAGGAUGGUGGCACAAAAUUGAUUGCAAUCGUUAGCUUGACUCAAAGAUGUUGAAGAAGAUUCGCAAAUUCGCAUAUUCAACAAGUAGACCAAGCAAGUAGUGGUACACGGAAACACACACGCAAAUAGAUAAACGGGAUUGUGCAAACCAAAAGUGAGCCAAAAUGUGGAAUCCACGAAAAUGCUCUUGUUGCACAAUACUAGAGAGACGCUAGCACGAUUGCACAAUAGGCGGAUACGGAGCUUGUGCACAACCUACUAGGAAAAAAUGCAACGAUCUCUAUCCCAUGUAUGCUAUAUGUAUUGUGUAUCGGUGCAAUGAUCCAAGAUGAUCUUAUAUGACAAUCUUAAUGUUGUAUGAUGCUAUGCUUGUUGCUUAUAAGCUCUUUGCUUAUCUUUCCUCUUUGCUUAAAAGCUUGAGUGGCUCUUUCUCUUUUGAGCUCUUUUCUUAUGCAAACUUGACGAACCAAGAUAGCAAUUGUGUAUGCGAUGACAACUUUGUGACACACAAGUUGAUUCCGAGAUAUGCACCACGAAGGUAUGUAUGAUAUGGUGUAUGCAACUAAUGUGCACAAGUCACGUUGCCGGCAAUACUCAAUGGCUAGUCUCGAUGGGUAAGCAACGCAAAAGAUGGUCUAUGAUGGUUAUCAAUGCAAUUGCAAGGUAUGACAAAGAUGUUGUCGAUGUUACCGUCCGUCGCGAAGAUGAGUAGUCGACCAAAAUGAGCGUUUGUUGUUGAUGUCGCACCGCGCCUAGAUAGCCGAAACACACAAGGACACAGAAAUCUCACUCAAAUUGUCGAACUCAAAUUCGAAUGGUAGUACGGAGGUUGUGUCUUGGGGUUUUGGCAAGUGGAAGUGGUGGUGUAUGGGGUGGGGAGGGUGUAUGUAGGUGUAGAUGGUUGUAGUGGUGGAUGGGGGACUGCACAAGUGCAGUUUCGGCAGAGGAAGCCGGAUGAUCCGGGCCAGGAGCCGGAUGAUCCGGGCACGUCCGGAUGAUCCGGGACUUGGUCCGGAUGAUCCGGGCAGGUCAACCACGCACGGGAACUGCUCGGGAAGAACACAAAAAUGGGGAGAAAUUUGACGAAUUCGGGGAUUUUGGGUGGAUUUCGAGGGGGAGAAGGUGGGGAAAAGCAAGAUCCACGAGUUACACACCAAAUCCACGGAUCAAAAACAACAAAACAUCAUCACAACCAACAAAUCACAAAAAAAUUUGGGGGGUAUUUUUGUGGGGAUUUUCGGAUUUUAGGACGAAAACAACAAAAUCAAGCUAGAAAUCACAGGGUAGGGGCUCCAAAAACGUGAUCAACGUGGCUCAUGAUACCAUAAUGAUGUAGGGUGGAACCCUAAUUCGUCGAUCUUUCACGUUUGGAGGGGAUCCUACGGAGGAAACACGAAGAACACGCGGAAGCACGAGGGGAAACACGGGGAAAACGAGAGAGAAUCACUCAACCAACAAGGAAUCGAUCACACAAGUGCUAGAUCAACAUACACACAUGAGAUCCAUAAGAUACAUAGUCAACUAGGGUAAGGAUACAAAGGAACCGUUCAUCUCCAAGAGGAGGCCUUGAUGUUCUUCCCUAGAUAGGGGUCUUGAAUCCGCUGAGGGAUCUUCUCCUAGACGGAGGUCCUAAUCUCCGAGGAGAAGUAACCGAGUGGAUGAGCAAAGGCUCUCACACAAAUAUGAGCUAAUCCAAUGCUAAGUCUUAAAGUGAGGAGAGGGGGUCCUAUAUAUAGAGUUUGGGGCGAAGGGGUACAUGGGCUCAGCCCAACACGCGCACACAGGCGCUGGCCGGAUGAUCCGGACGGGGGUCCGGAUGAUCCGGGCUGGUCCGGAUGAUCCGGGUGGAGGCUCGGAUGAGCCGGAGGGUCGGCUGGCGGUCGCGCAGGGCCGGAUGUCCGGCUGGUGGUCCGGACGUCCGGGCGGGGUCCGGAUGAUCCGGGACGGGGCCCGGAUGGUCCGGCUUCGGGGGAGAGCUUCUGUUGCCUUCGGUCGAUUUAGCCGGAUCGUCCGGACCGGGGUCCGGAUCAUCCGGGCUCUGUCCGGAUCGUCCGGGCCUCCGUCCGGAUCGUCCGGCCUCUCUGGUCCUUGUUGCUUUCUCCUCUCCGUCUUCAUGCAUGUCUUCCGCUUCCGGUUCUCCUUGCUUCCUAGCCUCUUCAUGGUUGACUCCUUGGUACCUGAGUAUGCAUAGCAUUUCCGUUUGAGGUAGUAACCAUGUCUCAUGUGAAUCGAAAGGGAAUUGUGAGAGGAGUGACGUCACCUCGGUUUCGAGAGCUCUUGCACGUGCUCGAGUCAUAGGUCCUUGUGGGGUUGGAUGUGUUGAUGUAGAGUCCAUGGGGAUGAUGGAAGGAUGCUCCGCAUCACAGGAGGCUCCCCGAGACCGCCCCAAGAAGAAGAAGACAUCGUCCGGCCCGGCCCCUCACGAGGCAGGCCCCUCAGGGCCCGCGCCUGCCCAGGGGGAACCUCCUUCCAUCACAUAGGGAAGCGCGCCCGGCGCCCUCCUUAGGCAGGGCUCGGGGGCUCUCCCCUGAAGGGCCACCGACCUCGCCAAGGUCACGAGGGAGGCGCUUGGGCACCACUUGGAGGCAUGUUUCGAAGCACGUUUCCCUCAAGAAGGAGCAAGGCAAGGAGUUCCAAACCCUCAGGAGUUCGUCAGCAAGGCCAUUCAGGAGCUACAGGAGUCAAGAGUCAUGAGAGGCACCCGCCGCUUACCCGCUGUGGCUCCCCAUCCAGGCAAGGAUGGUGGGCUGCGCGUCUGCAUCGACAUACCAGGGCUCAACCGAGCCGCCUCUCAGGAACGCCUCUGGCCCUCGCAAGUGGGACGCUGCGAAGGUCCACCCCACAGCUAUGUUCGCAUGCCUUACGGCUUGCCGAACGCGGCUGCGGUGCGCCAGCGCCUCAUAAGGAGCAUCCUGGAGGCUCAGGAGGCCAGGCAUUCUGCAGUCCUAGCGGAGAUGGAGAUCGUUCGCGAGGAGCCACCAGCGCCCCCGGAGGCUCCCGAGGCUCCUGGGCCUGGGGGCUCGUGAAGAUCGGCUCCCGCAGCCCGCUACGCCUGCUACUUCAACACCCCUUCGUCGCCAACGCUAUCAGGUGACAUCUUUCAAGUUUCGUUUCCAGCUGGGAGCGCCCUCAGGGUUGCAUCAUUCCCAGGCCGCGUGGGUCCGUCCCUGCGGUGUGUAUCCCUUUUGCUCGUGUUUUAGCUUACUUUGUUGGGGGUGCCCCUCGGGCUGCAUCAUCCCGAAGUCGCUCGGAUCAGACCCAGCGGUGUGUACCCCUCUUGCGUUUAUCUUCGGGCCAUGCAUUCGACCCAUCAUGCUUGUUAUUUGGUGCCUGUACGGGGCACCUUUUCUUCCUUGAUGUCGGCAGCUUGCACGUUAAAGGGGGGGUACCUGAGCAUCGCGACUUAGGGCUCCUACCGGCUCUCCAGCCCUCACCCUCUGGCCUUGUCCACGGCAUCGCGACCUGGCAUACUAGCGACGGCUGAGACCAGCUCAAGGGCCGGGACCCGAGGACGUAGAGCUCCGACAUCUAACCAAGCUUGCACGUUAAAGGGGGGGGUACCUGAGCAUCGCGACUCAGGGCUCCUACCGGCUCUCCAGCCCUCACCCUCUGGCCUUGUCCACGGCAUCACGACCUAGCAUACCAGCGACGGCUGAGACCAGCUCGAGGGUCGGGACCCGAGGACGUAGAGCUCCGACAUCUAACCAAAUUUGCAGGAACACAUCCCAAGAUAAGGCCCAGUGCCAGGCGCAACCCGCCUUGAGGUAGGGCCCCGUGAGUCCCGCGCUGGCUCACGGGUGCCCAGAUACACCUCAUCAGGCCUUACCGUGCCAGCCACGUGUCAGGGCGGGGUUGUACACGCCUCGGGGGCUCCUCUCGGAGGGGAGCCCCCUCCCACGCACCAGUGGAAGCACCAUGCUCCGCGCUGGCUGACGAUACUGCCAAGGGGCGGCUAUGCCCGUACACAUACGGAAGCGCUAUGCUCCGCACUGGUGAUAAACAACUGAGGGUGGCCCCCGGGCAGCAUCAACCUCAAGGAGCCUAGAGCUUAGUGUCUAGCCUCAUUGCAAUGCCUCCCCUCGGGAGUGCCGCGCGAGGGGGAUGGGCGCGGGGGCUGCGCCUGGGUCACGCCCAGAUGCACGCCACCCAGCCAGGCCCUCCGGGCCUGGUUCGUCGCACGUCCCUCCCCGAGCGGAGCCAAGGUACGAAGGCCGUUUGAGCGUCAAGGGGGACUCCUGAGCAACGUGACUCAGGAGCCUAACUGGUCACGUAGCCCCUCACUCCUUAGUUCCGAAAGGCUAACUGCGGUUGAGGUAUGCGCGGGGCCGGGCUCUGCAGACGUAGAAUGGUAGAUCCACCCACAUCUCACCUCCCUAAGGAGUCACCCCCACAUCUCACCUCCCUACUUGCUGUUCGAGCGCCAAGGGGGACUCCUGAGCAUCGCGACUCAGGAGCCUAACUUGUCACGUAGCCCCUCACUCCUUGGUCCCGUCCUGGUUUCCGGUCGGGACUAACGGCGGCUGAGGUAUGCGUGGGGCCGGGCUCUGCCGGCGUAGAACAUAAGCAAGUAGGAAGGAAAAGCGCAAAUUCAAGGAAUUCAAAAGCAAAUAUUACAGUCCAUACUGUUAUCACAACACCGAAUACAAGUUUUAACGCCUCCCCGAGGCAUGGUACACGUGCAGGAAUUAAAAGCAGGACGGGAGCCACAACGGAGUCACUUGUCGGCGGUGGAGCUGCAUGGAGUGGGUUCGCCUUGUGGAGCUGCAGGGUCGGCAGCGCCCCGCUUCGGCUUGGUGCUGAAGGCCCGGAACUUCCCCAGCAAAGCCUCCACACGACCCUUCACGGCCUCAGCGGCGGCAGCGGCAAGCUUGCCGCUCGCUGGCUCCAGCAGGCUGUCGAGGUCGAUGUUGGGGUCACGAAGAUAGAUGUGGGUAAGGACCCGCAUCAGCGCUGCAGAAGACAAGACGCGCGCCUCGGCCUCAGCCGUAGGGCCAAGGCCAAGGGUGACAUCUUCAAGAGCACGAACUAGGAAGGGAAGCAGCUUGGUAGGGCCGUCCUCGGCGGUGGCCAGCGGGCUCUCCAGGCCGCUGUCAUAAAGCGUGUUCAGCAAGGUGUGAGACUUCACCUCCAUCUCCGUGAAGGCCACGCGAUCCUCGGCAAGAACCCAUGCCUUGUCGUCCAGCUCGACCUUC